rnacentral:siRNA from 1 species
GCUCCAGCCUCCAGCUCGUGGU